GACGAACGCUGGCGGCGUGCUUAACACAUGCAAGUCGAACGGAAAGGCCCUGCUUUUGUGGGGUGCUCGAGUGGCGAACGGGUGAGUAACACGUGAGUAACCUGCCCUUGACUUUGGGAUAACUUCAGGAAACUGGGGCUAAUACCGGAUAGGAGCUCCUGCUGCAUGGUGGGGGUUGGAAAGUUUCGGCGGUUGGGGAUGGACUCGCGGCUUAUCAGCUUGUUGGUGGGGUAGUGGCUUACCAAGGCUUUGACGGGUAGCCGGCCUGAGAGGGUGACCGGCCACAUGGGGACUGAGAUACGGCCAAGCCUCCUAGGGGGGGAAGCGGUGGGGAAUAUUGCACAAGGGGGGGAAGCCUGAGGCACCACCGCCGCGGGGGGGAUGACGGCCUUGGGGUUGAAAACCGUUUUCGCCGGUGACGAAGGGUGGGUGCCGGUAUGGGGUAAAGAAGCCCCGGCUAACUACG
rnacentral:rRNA from 1 species